GAAAGACGACACAGUUGCUGUGUUUUCUCCUUAUCGAUGUACUCUGCCGAUUCCAGGAAGUCAGUCGAUCCAAUAGGAUGCGUCUCAUUUAAUCACGUAUUUUUAGAGGUCGCUGAUUGGCGGCCCAAUUAGUCGCGUCGCAGCCUCUGUUUACCGGAAGUGAUUGAGAUUAGGGGGUGAGAGGAUGGGUGUAGAUUGAGAUUAGGAACAUGAAAUGGAGCUCAGAAGGGAAGGAACUGAAGCUUGGACAGAAAGACAACAAACAACAGCUUCUGUUUGAGCUCACUUCCUGCUGCGACUAAAAAUAUCAUCUGCUAUUCUAAGAAGGAAAAAAAAAGCAUGAACAGCGUCCAAACUGUCGGAAAUAAUCAACAUAAAAACAUGUUUUUCCAUCCACUUCCUGUUUAAGAAGUCUUCUUUCAGAUAAGGCUGGCAUUUUUACCCUGAUGACUUUACAGUCCAACCAAGAACUACUCGAGACUAAAGAACGGCUCGUUAAUGAGAUAACCGGGAUUAACCGGAUUAAAGUCUCUGUGUUAGGAAAACUGUUCGAAGGAAGGAAGAGGGAGGAAAGAUGGAUGAGAGAGGA
ensembl:lncRNA